UCUCUGGUAGUAUAGUGGUUAGUAUCCGCGCCUGUCGCGUGCGAGACCCGAGUUCAAUUCCCGGCCAGGGAG
rnacentral:tRNA from 1 species